rnacentral:rRNA from 1 species
GGGUUAAGUCCCGCAACGAGCGCAACCCUUAAGCUUAGUUGCCAUCAUUAAGUUGGGCACUCUAGGCUGACUGCCGGUGACAAACCGGAGGAAGGUGGGGAUGACGUCAAAUCAUCAUGCCCCUUAUGAUUUGGGCUACACACGUGCUACAAUGGACAAUACAAAGGGCAGCUUAACCGCGAGGUCAAGCAAAUCACAUAAAGUUGUUCUCAG